rnacentral:rRNA from 1 species
GACAGAGGUGCCAAGCGUUAGGCGGAAUCACUGGGCUUAAAGGGUGCGUAGGCGGCGCGGUAAGUUGGGUGUGAAAUCCCUCGGCUCAACCGAGGAACUGCGCCCAAAACUGCUGUGCUCGAGGGAGAUAGAGGUGAGCGGAACUUAGGGUGGAGCGGUGAAAUGCGUUGAUAUCCUAAGGAACACCGGUGGCGAAAGCGGCUCACUGGAUCUCUUCUGACGCUGAGGCACGAAAGCUAGGGUAGCGAACGGG